rnacentral:rRNA from 1 species
AGCCGGCGAUGUCCGAAUGGGGAAACCCAGUGCAAUUCGUUGCACUAUCGUUAACUGAAUACAUAGGUUAACGAGGCGAACCGGGGGAACUGAAACAUCUAAGUACCCCGAGGAAAAGAAAUCAACCGAGAUUCCCCCAGUAGCGGCGAGCGAACGGGGAGCAGCCCAGAGUCUGAAUCAGCUUGUGUGUUAGUGGAACGGUCUGGAAAGUCCGACGGUACAGGGUGAUAGUCCCGUACACCAAAAUGCACAGGUUGUGAACUCGAAGAGUAGGGCGGGACACGUGGUAUCCUGUCUGAAUAUGGGGGGACCAUCCUCCAAGGCUAAAUACUCCUGACUGACCGAUAGUGAACCAGUACCGUGAGGGAAAGGCGAAAAGAACCCCGGCGAGGGGAGUGAAAAAGAACCUGAAACCGUGUACGUACAAGCAGUGGGAGCACCUUCGGGUGUGACUGCGUACCUUUUGUAUAAUGGGUCAGCGACUUAUAUUCUGUAGCAAGGUUAACCGUAUAGGGGAGCCGCAGGGAAACCGAGUCUUAACUGGGCGUUAAGUUGCAGGGUAUAGACCCGAAACCCGGUGAUCUAGCCAUGGGCAGGUUGAAGGUUGGGUAACACUAACUGGAGGACCGAACCGACUAAUGUUGAAAAAUUAGCGGAUGACUUGUGGCUGGGGGUGAAAGGCCAAUCAAACCGGGAGAUAGCUGGUUCUCCCCGAAAGCUAUUUAGGUAGCGCCUCGUGAACUCAUCUUCGGGGGUAGAGCACUGUUUCGGCUAGGGGGUCAUCCCGACUUACCAACCCGAUGCAAACUACGAAUACCGAAGAAUGUUAUCACGGGAGACACACGGCGGGUGCUAACGUCCGUCGUGAAGAGGGAAACAACCCAGACCGCCAGCUAAGGUCCCAAAGUCAUGGUUAAGUGGGAAACGAUGUGGGAAGGCACAGACAGCCAGGAUGUUGGCUUAGAAGCAGCCAUCAUUUAAAGAAAGCGUAAUAGCUCACUGGUCGAGUCGGCCUGCGCGGAAGAUGUAACGGGGCUAAACCAUGCACCGAAGCUGCGGCAGCGACACUAUGUGUUGUUGGGUAGGGGAGCGUUCUGUAAGCCUGCGAAGGUGUGCUGUGAGGCAUGCUGGAGGUAUCAGAAGUGCGAAUGCUGACAUAAGUAACGAUAAAGCGGGUGAAAAGCCCGCUCGCCGGAAGACCAAGGGUUCCUGUCCAACGUUAAUCGGGGCAGGGUGAGUCGACCCCUAAGGCGAGGCCGAAAGGCGUAGUCGAUGGGAAACAGGUUAAUAUUCCUGUACUUGGUGUUACUGCGAAGGGGGGACGGAGAAGGCUAUGUUAGCCGGGCGACGGUUGUCCCGGUUUAAGCAUGUAGGCUGGUUGUCCAGGCAAAUCCGGAUAAUCAAGGCUGAGGUGUGAUGACGAGGCACUACGGUGCUGAAGUAACAAAUGCCCUGCUUCCAGGAAAAGCCUCUAAGCAUCAGGUAACAUUAAAUCGUACCCCAAACCGACACAGGUGGUCAGGUAGAGAAUACCAAGGCGCUUGAGAGAACUCGGGUGAAGGAACUAGGCAAAAUGGUGCCGUAACUUCGGGAGAAGGCACGCUGGUGUGUAGGUGAAGUCCCUGCGGAUGGAGCUGAGACCAGUCGAAGAUACCAGCUGGCUGCAACUGUUUAUUAAAAACACAGCACUGUGCAAACACGAAAGUGGACGUAUACGGUGUGACGCCUGCCCGGUGCCGGAAGGUUAAUUGAUGGGGUUAUCCGUAAGGAGAAGCUCUUGAUCGAAGCCCCGGUAAACGGCGGCCGUAACUAUAACGGUCCUAAGGUAGCGAAAUUCCUUGUCGGGUAAGUUCCGACCUGCACGAAUGGCGUAAUGAUGGCCAGGCUGUCUCCACCCGAGACUCAGUGAAAUUGAACUCGCUGUGAAGAUGCAGUGUACCCGCGGCAAGACGGAAAGACCCCGUGAACCUUUACUAUAGCUUGACACUGAACAUUGAGCCUUGAUGUGUAGGAUAGGUGGGAGGCUUUGAAGCGUGGACGCCAGUCUGCGUGGAGCCAACCUUGAAAUACCACCCUUUAAUGUUUGAUGUUCUAACGUUGGCCCCUGACCGGGGUUGCGGACAGUGUCUGGUGGGUAGUUUGACUGGGGCGGUCUCCUCCCAAAGCGUAACGGAGGAGCACGAAGGUUAGCUAAUCCUGGUCGGACAUCAGGAGGUUAGUGCAAUGGCAUAAGCUAGCUUGACUGCGAGCGUGACGGCGCGAGCAGGUGCGAAAGCAGGUCAUAGUGAUCCGGUGGUUCUGAAUGGAAGGGCCAUCGCUCAACGGAUAAAAGGUACUCCGGGGAUAACAGGCUGAUACCGCCCAAGAGUUCAUAUCGACGGCGGUGUUUGGCACCUCGAUGUCGGCUCAUCACAUCCUGGGGCUGAAGUAGGUCCCAAGGGUAUGGCUGUUCGCCAUUUAAAGUGGUACGCGAGCUGGGUUUAGAACGUCGUGAGACAGUUCGGUCCCUAUCUGCCGUGGGCGCUGGAGAAUUGAGGGGGGCUGCUCCUAGUACGAGAGGACCGGAGUGGACGCAUCACUGGUGUUCGGGUUGUCAUGCCAAUGGCACUGCCCGGUAGCUAAAUGCGGAAGAGAUAAGUGCUGAAAGCAUCUAAGCACGAAACUUGCCCCGAGAUGAGUUCUCCCUGAGACUUUAAGUCUCCUGAAGGAACGUUGAAGACGACGACGUUGAUAGGCCGGGUGUGUAAGCGCAGCGAUGCGUUGAGCUAACCGGUACUAAUGAACCGUGAGGCUUAACCUU